rnacentral:lncRNA from 1 species
CUCAUGUAGGAGGCUGUGUGGGAACCAAUUGGUGGGAACUCACCAAGUCGCCUACUGAUGAUGAAUUGUUGGAUCUGACAUCCGAGAUACGGGCCAGAGUUUGGGUUUGCUAAUAUUGUCCUCAUAGGUAUUAAAGUGGCAAUGGUGAAACCUUAGUAUAAGUAGAUUGUGGAAUACGAAUAGCAGCACACGACCGUGAGAUGCUGGCCUUCUCAUUUCUGGUGCUGUCAGACUACUACCACAUGUAAGUGCCAACUGAUGAUAUGCAUCAUAUGUAAUGAAGAUUAUUUCUUGUACUUUAUUUGUAGCAGUGUUGUACUACAUAGUAUUUUAAUUUGCUCUUAGCAAGAAAUAAUCUAUUCAUGAUGCCUUUUCUUUUAAAAAAGGCUUUAUGAACCUAAAGUGCAUGUCUGAAUGUAUUUCUAAAAUUUACAAUAUGAAUUGCUUUUGAUAGUGUUGUAUCGAUGUUUUUCGUGAUAUUUUAGUUUUUGAAAAACCUUUUUUGAAAAUUAGUUUGAUGGAUUAUUCUGCUAUUGGUAAUUAGAUUACCUUUUGUGUGUUAAUAUGUCACCUUGGAUAGUAAUCUGGGUAUAGGUUUGUUGAGCAGAAGCUUACAUAUUGAAUUUUCUCAAGUAACUUCUGGUCGCCCUAUCAAGUAACUGAGAAACAAUCUUCCAGUUGCCAACAAUUUUUAGUGACCUAAGCAAUUAAUGUGAUUUGAUAUUAUAUUUGUUUUGCUGCUAAGUCUGAAUGUGGGAACUUUGUUUUUGGUCAGAAUUGUGCCGCCGGGCAAAGCUAGCGUUAUGUACAUAUCCGGUUGUGCUAUGAAGUUACUGAAGCAAGGUAUAUUCAUGUCUAUUGUGCUGGCCCCAUAUUGAUUUGCCAAAGUGAAUCCUAAUGCGUCAAUCUCUGGUCUUGUAGUAUGUUCCUAUCUAUUGUGCUGUCCUUGUACUGAUUUGGAUACAAUAGCAUGUAUAUAAAGGAAACUACAUGAAGACAGUUUUCGAUCUGUUUUAGACUAAGAACAUCGCUAACAUCCACUCCCUCAAUCUAAUACGUAUCCUUGCUAUCCUGGUUGAUGUCAAGUACUCUUACUUAUCUUGGUCGAUACAAAUAGAUUGCCAUAAUAUUUAUUUCAUAAGCUACUAAUCCAAAUAUUAUCUAGACAGGAUCCUUGUUCUUCUCGGCCUUGCUUUUCGUACGUCAUCUUCAUCUUCAGGCACUGUAUUUUUGGCUUUGGCUUUAACUUGUUUCUUGUUCUCACUGACAGCUUUUUUCUUUUGUUCUGGCAAAUUCGUCUUAGUGCAUUCAUCCUCUGAGUCAUCUGAGGAUAUUACAACAGAUCUCAGUCUCCUUUUAUUGCCACUACGGAGCUGACGUGAUGACGAUGAUGAUCUUUUGUCUUGCUGCUUGUCUUUGGUUAAUGUGGAUUCAUUGCUGUCAUAUGGCUCCUCUUUCACAGGCACCAGUUUGCAGGAAGGUGAAACUUUAUUAUUCUGUGACUGCAUACAUAUACAUUUUCAAAAUAAGACACAUCUCUAAAAUUUGAAGUUUGUAUCGUCAAAAAGUCAAUCACCUUUUUAUCUGGCAUGUUCUGCUUCUUCAUUAACAUAGUGUCUACAUCAUCAUCCAUCAAUUCUUGUGCAACAAAUGUAAUAUGAAUUGGUUAAGGAAUUCUAAAGAUGGUACUUUAUUUUUGAAACAAAGGUAAUGAAACUUUUACCUCCUCGGCUUUAUCGUUCAAAUAGAGCAUCUCAAGCCUAUCAUCAGGCACAAAUGUUCUCUUUACUGCAUAGUUUUGUGUGCCAAAUGUGAGAUUACUAUCACUGAGCUUGAAUCGAAAUAUUAAUUUUUUUCCACAUAAUUGUUGAAUAAUCUUUGGGGCUUCUUCUGUUUUCCCAUCUAGUGAGUCCAGCAAGUCAGAUGCAGAUGUAUUAAGCAAUCUUGCAGCCUCCUCGUCAAAUAAAGUGCAACUUGUAGUAGAUGUAUGAUCACUAAUUUGGAGUCGAAUACGAUACCUAACAUACCAUUCAUGUUAGUGGAGAGUAAAUAUAAUAUAACACUUACUGCUUAUAUUUAAGUAAUAUAAUAUGCUUACCGAGGUGUGACAUUUUUUGGAUAUAUACCACAACUCUUGCAAUAAUACUUGUCGGUUUCCUUGAUAACCAUUUUGGGACAGUUAUCACAUGACAUGUACCACCAUUGAAUAUUUUCUUGCAACCGAUCUACUGUAGCUAUUGUCGUGAACACAAAAUCCUGAAAACAAUCAACGUUAGCAUUGGGGUAGGGGUGGGGGAUUAAGUGACAUAUAUAAAUUCAAAAUGGUUCCAUUGUUACUAAUAUUGAACAAAUUGUCAAUGCAGGUCUUAACUCGUUCUCGCAAAAAUUGAUGAUAGCCUUUAUUGAAACUCCAAUGAAUUACCUGGUCUUGCCGGUUUUCGUGCCUCAUUUUAGUAAGUUCUUGCAAUGUUCUCCGCUUGUAAAACAUUUGUUCUUCUAGAGUUCCCUGAUUACUUCUAUCUAUACUCAUCAUUUUUGGUAAGGUUACUUGUGUUGAGUCCCUGCACAUAUAUAAAACAAAUAAUAAUAUGUACAAUCGCGAAUCAACAUGAGUCACUAUUCAUGAGUGGGAAUUUUUAAUUGGUAGUGUUUCAUACCUUUCAAGAAGUUCUUGUGCUUCUGGUAUAUCCAGAUCUAUAUAUAUUCUGGUGGCACUGGUUGACUUUAGGCACAAACCUAUUUAAUUAACCAAUUAGAAUUUGUAAAUGAUAAGAGUAGCAUCUAAGAUUUAUGGACUUACCAUUGAAUCUCUGCACCAUCGUUGAUGUAAUAAUAAUGACAGUUUGGCUGCCAAUUACAUCCUCGGUCAAAAAAUAAGCAAACUUUCCCCAUAACGUGAUUCUGAUUUUAUCACCCCUAAAGAAUUUAAUUCGAGAAGUUAUUGUUAAUCACAUGGGGUAGGCGUAGUUAAAUUUCAGACAUGCAUAUGCAUAUGCACUUACUCCGGCAUUAGUAUUUCAAUCUCGCGGAUAUAUGAAGGUUGUGGGCUCUUUUUUGUUAUUCUUGUCUCCACGGGCUUCAUUUUUGUUAGAAGUCCAAUGACAUCUGUUUAUUUGGAAAUUAUAGUAAUAUAACAAUUAGAAAUAUCAAUUAUUUGGAAGCCAUAAUUACAACUAUAAACAUACCUGAGCAUUGUGUAUCUUUUCCUGCCCUUUCUUCAAGUGUCUCCAUGGUAGCAAACUCGGAGCAAUAGUCCGGAAAAACUUCUUGAGAUCCUUUUAUCUCCUUUACCUUUGUAUUGUAUGAAAAAAAUAUUUUAAUUUCAUUGCUCACUGGCCUAUAUUUUGUGGAUUCCACAACCUUAAAAUUACUGAAUCCAUAAAUAGACUUCUCAUUGAUCUUUGAUUUAAAAGUGUCUAUUAGAUUCUUCCAUAUAGUAGCAUGAAUUGUUUCACCCUAUAAAAACAAACAAUUAUGGUUAGUAACUGUUGCUUAAUCUAAAAAAAAAUCCAAUUAACUAUAUUGAAAAACAGACCUGCUCAUCCAUGAGUAUCAUAUCUAGGCUAAUAAGCUCAUCGGUAGUAGGAUUAACUGAAUCCCAAAUCCUCAUUACUUUCACUUGAAUGUUCCAGUUCUGUCCCCUUGUAGUUAAGUCACUCAACUUUUUGUAUGCCAUAGUUUUAUGUCUUCAAAAUUAAUCGGAAACAAUUAGCCAAUGGAUAUAGUAUUUAUGAAGAUCCUAUCCAUAAAAAAGGUUGUUAAAUAACAAUUACCAAGUCUGAUGAUUCAACCCAGAAGUGCUUUGUCGUCACUUCUUCCGACGUCGAUAGGAGCAGAUGGGCGUGGCUUUGUCGGAUGUCGGCGGGCUUUGGUAUGACUUCGCUGGACGUCAAGCGAAGCAGUUGGAGAUGACUUCUCGUCGAAGCAGUUGGAGAUGACUUCUCGUCGUGCUACCUAUGUCGACUUCAAGCUGUGUGGACGGCGAGGCGUGUGUUUCGUCUGGUGUGUUUUAAGACGUGGUGGUCGUCGAUUUCUAAUUGUUUGGUGCGUGCUUCUAUGGCCGACUGCACUUGUUUAUAUGGGUUGAGGUGGCUGGGUUGAGGUGGCCGAGACCGUGUGGGAAUCUUGUAGGUAUUCGUUCCUCUCUUGGAACUUUUAUCACGUGAGGUCUGGUGGGUGUCCUUAUUUGUUUAGGUUUCUUAUUUAAUUAGGUUUGACUACUAUUUUUGCUUAUCCUUGACCCAUUGAUGGAAAUAUUCUAUUUUUGUUUUUGUGUCUUACCAUGAGGAUAAUUCAGGCUAGUUGAUGUCACAAUGGACACACUAUAUUUGUAUACGUGACGUGUUAUACUACUUGUGUGGGUCGGUCUGUGCUAUGCACUACACGUGAUGGAACAUGGAUGUGUUGGUCCGUUCUAUGCACGUACACGUGACAACACAACUUAUCUUGUUUACGCGUUUAUGUUAAAUCAAGGCCAUUAAUAUUACAAUCUAAUGGAUUAGAUAAUUUUAACUUAUGU